UGCAGAUGCAUUUGGGUUGGGGUUCCUGGUGAUUAUUGCCUGUGCUGUUUUUCUUUGGAUGAGAACGAGUUAUAAUAAUCACUGUGAAUCUGGGCAUUCUGGAUGACAAGGGUUCUGCAAAUGAGUGUUGAUGGCGACAACAAAGAAUUGAAAGAACUGAAUCGACGCUUAUUUGAGAUGGGAAGAAGAUUGCUGGUGGGGAGAGUGGUUUAUGCGAGGAAGUGAAAUGUAAUGGAGUUGCUGAAGAAGUUAAGGUUGAACAAGGGGGGGACUGUGGAGUCCUCCUCUGUCCAGCAGCAUAUACCACAGUCUCAAGGGGUAAUAAUUUGUUGGGAGAGGUUUUUGCAUAUUAGAUCCCUUAAGGUCUUGCUUGUGGAGAUUGAUGACUCUACCCCGUCAUGUUGUCACUGCACAGAUUGCAAUUUUAGUUAUGAAGCUAUACAUACCAGUGCAUGCCCAAGAUGAUAGGUGUAUUUUUCAAGAGGUAAACAAUUGAGACUCCACCUCCAUUACCAACUUUUAAGGGUGGUUCAAAGUCAGGAGGAGAAAGCACUUAUUCAGGUCUUUCUAGCAAAACUGAGCAGGAAGCAAGAAUCUCCCAUAAGUAAAAAGGCAUAUUCUUCGGAUCAUCAUCAGGAUUUUGAUCAGCAACAUCUGCACCAUAGACAACAACUUCAACAGGAGAUGGCCAGGAAUGCCCCAAGAGCAGCCUCUUCACAGAAUCAAUCAGCAGGAAAAUCACCUCAAGAAAAGGUCUCACUCUCUUUGACGGUCUUUUCCUUUUAAGUUUUAUUUAUGUCUCACACAAGUAAUUUUUUCAAACACAAGUUUUUAUUCAAAGAUUAAAUGUGAACACUUCUCUCACUAUCAGUCUAAACAUUAAUUCACCAUAUUGUGCAAGACUAGUCUCUUCUAGUAGAAGCAUUUGAGUUGGGGUUCCUGGUGAUUAUUGCAUGUGCUAUUUUCUUUUAACUGCAUAUGUAGAGCUCUUUCACCUUUCCGUUAGCCCAAAAAUCGAAAGCUGGGAAUGCACGAAAUGCCAUAGAGUCUCAAAAAGCACCAAGAGCCGUUUCACCUUCCCGCUUCCCCAAAAAUGGUACCGGUCACAACAUGAAGCCUGAAAAUUGUCAAAGACCCAUGGAUGAUAGAAGCUUUGAGGCUAAAACUUGGCCAAGAAAUGACCAUGGAGGCACCUCGGAAAAACGAUUCUUUAUUUGACAGGUGUAGCUCUGAAAUUGGGAAAUUAACAACUUGUUAUGAUGAUUUCACGUUUUUUAUGCUAGUUGCUUAACUGCAAAUGUAGUGGAGCGGCUUUGGAAUUUUGCUUGGCCUUCUGCCAUUGCCUUGAUUCAUCCAAGCCUUUUGCCCGUUGUUGUGAUGGGUUUCUUCACCAAAGUGGCUAUAAUUGUUGGUUGUCCCUUGGUUGGCAAACUUAUGGACCAUUUUCCAAGACUGUCUGUAUAUAAACUAUAAAUUCAAGAGUGUUUGCAUAUAAUUGCUUAAAACUAGUAAUAUUACUAUAGUUUUUGUUA